ACGAGCACAAAGACGAAGAUGAAGAUGAACACGAACAAGACACAUAUCUUGACUUUCAAAAUUCCAUGAAUUUGGAUAAGGAUGUAUGUGAGAAAGUAAAGAAGUGCAUAUUUGAAACGCAUCUGUUGGAAACAAAGAUUGUUAAAUUAUGCAUAUUUAGGGAUGAAGUGCCUCAAAAGAUGGAAUAAAAGGACCAGAGAGGAUCUUCUCUUUCAUUCAAAAUAGAUCGGCCUAACUUGAUUGGUUUUUCGUUUUGCGCUGUUUGUGAUCCCGAAAAUUAUUUGGGUGAUGAUAUGGCUGACAUUACUUGCGAAGCCCAAUUCAUAGAUAAAUCUGGACAUAGCAGUAAAGAAUUCCGUUUCGAGUGGGUGACUGUGAAAGAUGUUAAUUUAUUAUGUUCAGAACAUGUGUUCCUUUGGAAUGACUGGUUCGACAUGGUAGAUGGUCCUGUUGAGGUCUCAUUCCAGUUCUUCAUGAACAGGGGGUUCUUCGAGCCACAAUAUCAUGAGGAUCGUGAUUAUGAGGCUGUAAUUAAGUGUGGGGUGCAUCCUAUGUUUGAAGAAGAUGAAGACGACGAAACAUAUCUUACAGAUUGAAAGAAGACCAAAAACCUUCUCAUACACAGGAUAAAUCAGAUUCAGAAUGACAGCAGGUCUCUUCUUUGGUUGCAGAUUUGGGGUUUGGAGACUUUUGUGUGUGACUUUUCUGCACAUUUUGCUGCAGCUCUCGACUUGGUUUUGUUGCUGCCUAGACCUGUGGCUUUUGUUCUUCUGGCAUUUGUUUGGUUGUGUAUCCUGGACUUUUGUUUGCUGUCUUUUGUAAUGCAACUUUGAUGCUAACUUGUUAGUGAGUUUUUUUCACCUUUCUUUUCAGAUUUUUUCACUUAGCAUGCUGUUGCCUAAGUUGGAUGUAAGGGGGAAGUCUAUCGGCUUGAUUUAGUUGGUGAUAUCCAUGCUAAGUUUUUCCUGAAUUCCAUUUAUAAAUAAAAUGUUGCCAAGUUUUUGGAUUUCA